rnacentral:rRNA from 1 species
AAAAGGCAAUCGCGUAUAGUGGCGAACGGGUGAGUAACGCGUAAUCAACCUGCCCUUCAGAGGGGGAUAACAGUUGGAAACGACUGCUAAUACCGCAUACUUAAGGAGGAGCUUGCGUCGGAUGAGCGAGUUGGAGGGGUAACGGCCCAACAAGGCGAUGAUCAGUAGACGGUCGGAGAGGAGGAACGGCCUAAUUGGGACGGAGACACGGCCCAGACUCAGACGGGAGGAAGCAGUGGGGAAUCUUCCGCAAUGGACGAAAGUCUGACGGAGCAACGACGCGUGAGUGAUGAUGGCCCUCGGGUUGUAAAGAACUGUUAAUCUGGACGCGGUACCGGAAUAGAAAGCCACGGCGAACUACGUGACAGCAUCCGCGGUAAUUC